UACGUAGGGUGCAAGCGUUAAUCGGAAUUACUGGGCGUAAAGCGUGCGCAGGCGGUUUUGUAAGCCAGAUGUGAAAUCCCCGGGUUCAACCUGGGAAUGGCAUUUGGGACUGCAAGGCUGGAGUGCGGCAGAGGAGACUGGAAUUCCUGGUGUAGCAGUGAAAUGCGUAGAUAUCAGGAGGAAUACCGAUGGCGAAGGCAGGUCUCUGGGCUGACACUGACGCUCAUGCACGAAAGCGUGGGGAGCGAAACAACGG
rnacentral:rRNA from 1 species